rnacentral:rRNA from 1 species
GUUUGGCUUAGCCAAACCGGAUUGUAAACUGUAGAAGUGUUUUCCAGACACGCCUGGUAAAAAAGUCCUUUGGAACAGGGCAUCAUAGAGGGUGAGAAUCCCGUCUUUGGCCAGAGCUGUUGUCUUUUGUGAUACAUUUUCAAAGAGUCAGGUUGUUUGGGAAUGCAGCCUAAAUUGGGUGGUAAAUCUCACCUAAAGCUAAAUAUUUGCGAGAGACCGAUAGCGAACAAGUACCGUGAGGGAAAGAUGAAAAGAACUUUGAAAAGAGAGUUAAACAGUAUGUGAAAUUGUUAAAAGGGAACCGUUUGGAGCCAGACUGGCUUAACUGUAAUCAAUCUAGGCUUCGGCCUGGAUGCACUUGCGGUUUAUGCCGGCCAACGACAGUUUUAUUUGAGGGAAAAAAUUACAUUGAAUGUGGCCCCUCGGGGUGUUAUAGCUUUGUAAAAAAUACCUUGGAUUGGACUGAGGAACGCAGUGAAUGCCUUUAGGCAAGGUUGCUGGGUGCUUUCGCUAAUAAAUGCUAAAAUUUCUGCUUUGGGUGGUGUUAGUGUUUAAAGGAGAAACCCGCUUGGUAUACUUUUUAUUCGCUUAGGUUGUUGGCUUAAUGACUCUAAAUGACCCGUCUUGAAACACGGACCAAGGAGUCCACCAUAAGUGCAAGUAUUUGGGUGACAAACCCAUAUGCGCAAGGAAACUGAUUGAUACGAAAGCUUUAAGCUGGCAGUAUCACCCGGCGUUGACGUUUUAUACUGAACUGACCGAGGUAAAGCACUUAUGAUGGGACCCGAAAGAUGGUG